AGGAAAGCAGGGGAUCGCAAGACCUUGCGCUUUUGGGGCGGCCGAUGUCUGAUUAGCUAGUUGGUGAGGUAAAGGCUUACCAAGGCUUCGAUCAGUAGCUGGUCUGAGAGGACGACCAGCCACACUGGGACUGAGACACGGCCCAGACUCCUACGGGAGGCAGCAGUGGGGAAUUUUGGACAAUGGGGGAAACCCUGAUCCAGCCAUGCCGCGUGAGUGAAGAAGGCCUUCGGGUUGUAAAGCUCUUUCAGCCGGAACGAAAAGGUUACGGUUAAUACCCGUGACUAAUGACGGUACCGGAAGAAGAAGCACCGGCUAACUACGUGCCAGCAGCCGCGGUAAUACGUAGGGUGCGAGCGUUAAUCGGAAUUACUGGGCGUAAAGCGUGCGCAGGCGGUUUUGUAAGUCAGAUGUGAAAUCCCCGGGCUCAACCUGGGAACUGCGUUUGAAACUACAAGGCU
rnacentral:rRNA from 1 species